UACGUAGGGUGCAAGCGUUGUCCGGAAUUAUUGGGCGUAAAGAGCUCGUAGGCGGUCUGUCACGUCGGCCGUGAAAUCUCCACGCUUAACGUGGAGCGUGCGGUCGAUACGGGCAGACUUGAGUUCGGUAGGGGAGACUGGAAUUCCUGGUGUAGCGGUGAAAUGCGCAGAUAUCAGGAGGAACACCGGUGGCGAAGGCGGGUCUCUGGGCAGUAACUGACGCUGAGGAGCGAAAGCGUGGGGAGCGAACAGG
rnacentral:rRNA from 1 species